rnacentral:rRNA from 1 species
AUAGCGAUGUGGCAUCACAUUGCUAUUAUAGCUUCGGCGCUUGUUGAUGGGUGUGCGGCUGACUUAGGAUAGUUGGCGGGGUAACGGCCCACCAAGUCUACGAUCAGUAGCUGAAUGUGAGAGCAUGAUCAGCCACACGGGCACUGAGACACGGGCCCGACUCCUACGGGAGGCAGCAGUAAGGAAUAUUGGACAAUGGACGCAAGUCUGAUCCAGCCAUGCCGCGUGAAGGAUUAAGGUCCUCUGGAUUGUAAACUUCUUUUAUAAGGGACGAAAAAAGGUCUUUCUAGAUCGUCUGACGGUACCUUAUGAAUAAGCACCGGCUAACUCCGUG